NNNNNNNNNNNNNNNNNNNNNNNNNNNNNNNNNCGGUGUACCGGGAUGUGAAUUCCCUCCCGGGAUGGAAAUUCCCCGUGUACCAGGAUGGGAAUUCCCUCCCUGUGUGCCGGGAUGGGAAUUCUUUCCCGGAGGAGUACUCCCGGUAUCCCAGGACAGGAAUUCCCUCCCGGAUGGGCAUUCCCGGUGUCCCAGGAUGUGAAUUCCCUCCCGGGACGGGAAUUCAGGGUGUACCGGGACAGGAAUUCCCUCUCGGUGUGCCGGGACGGGCGUGCCCGGUGUGCCAGGACCGGAAUUCCAUCCCGAUGAGCACUCCCGGUGUCCCGGGACAGGAAUUCCCUCCCGGUGUCCCGGCCUCGCCCGCUCCGUGCCCAUCCCGAGGAGCGGCCCCGCCCCCCCGGCUCUAAUUUGAAUAAAAUCCCGCAUUUUGCUCAUUCCUGAUUUCCUCAUUCCUGAUUUGCUCGUCCCCGUUUUUCUCAUUUCCGUUUUGCCCAUUCCCAUUUUUGCUCAUUCCCGUUUCCCCCAUCCCCGUUUUGCCUGUUCCUGUUUUUCUCAUUCCCAUUUUGCGCAUUCCCGAUUUGUCCAUCCCCGUUUUUCCCAUUCCCAUUUUCCCCAUCCCUGAUUUGCUCAUUCCAUUUUUGCCCAUUCCCGUUUUGCUCACUGCCAUUUUGCUUGUUCCUGUUUUGCUCAUUCCCGUUUUGCCCAGUCCCAUUUUCUUCAUUCCCAUUUUGCUCAUUCCUGUUUUCCCCAUCCCCGUUUUCCUCAUUUCUGUUUUGCUCAUUGCCAUUUUCCCCAUCCCUGUUUUGCUCAUUCACAUUUUGCCAUUUUCUUCAUUCCCAUUUUGCCCAUUCCUGAUUUGCUCAUUCCCAUUUUUCCCAUCCCCAUUUUGCCCAUCCCCAUUUUUUCUUGUUCCCGUUUUGCCCAUUCCUGUUUUGUUCAUCCCUGUUUUGUUCAUCCCUGUUUUGCCCAUUCCCGUUUUUCUCAUCCCAGUUUUUUCCAUUCCCGAUUUGCUCAUUCCUGUUUUUCCCAUCCCCAUUUUGCCCAUUCCCGUUUUCCCAUUUUCUUCAUUCCCAUUUUCUUCAUUCCUGAUUUACUCAUCCUCGUUUUGCCCAUUCCCGUUUUACCCAUUCCUCCUUUUUCCCAUCCCCAUUUUUCCCAUUACCGUUUUGCUCAUUCCCAUUUUGUUCAUCCCCAUUUUGCCCAUUCCCAUUUUUCCCAUCCCCAUUUUGCCCAUUCCCAUUUCGCCCAUUCCUGUUUUGCUCACUCCCAUAUUUCCCAUUCCCAUUUUGCUCAUCCCCAUUUUGUUCUUCCC
rnacentral:lncRNA from 1 species